rnacentral:rRNA from 1 species
UAAUACGUAGGGUGCAAGCGUUAAUCGGAAUUACUGGGCGUAAAGCGUGCGCAGGCCGUUGAGUUAGCUAAUUGUGAAAUCCCAAAGCUUAACUUUGGAACUGCAAUUAAAACUGCUCGACUAGAGUUUGAUAGAGGAAAGCGGAAUACAUAGUGUAGAGGUGAAAUUCGUAGAUAUUAUGUAGAACACCAGCUGCGAAGGCGGCUUUCUGGAUCAACACUGACGCUGAGGCGCGAAAGUAUGGGUAGCAAAGAGGAUUAGAUACCCUCGUAGUCCAUACCAUAAACGAUGAUUGCUAGAUGUUGGAAAUUUAUUUUCAGUAUCGCAGCUAACGCAUUAAGCAAUCCGCCUGGGGAGUACGACCGCAAGGUUAAAACUCAAAUGAAUUGACGGGGACCCGCACAAGCGGUGGAGCAUGUGGUUUAAUUCGAAGAUACGCGCAGAACCCUACCAACCCUUGACAUGUCUGUCGCGAGUUUAGG